CGAACGCUGGCGGCACGCUUAAUACAUGCAAGUCGUACGAGAAAGUUCCUUCGGGGGCGAGUAAAGUGGCGCACGGGUGAGUAACGCGUAGGUGACAUACCUUGAGACGGGGGACAACAGAGAGAAAUUUCUGCUAAUACCGCAUAGUUAAGGAGAUUUUGGAAGAAUCCUUAUAAAGAUGGCCUCUCCUUGGAAGCUAUCGUCUCGAGAAUGGCCUGCGUACCAUUAGCUUGUUGGUGGGGUAAUGGCCUACCAAGGCAGUGAUGGUUAACCGGUCUGAGAGGAUGAUCGGUCACACUGGAACUGAGACACGGUCCAGACUCCUACGGGAGGCAGCAGUAGGGAAUAUUGCGCAAUGGGGGAAACCCUGACGCAGCGAUGCCGCGUGAGUGAGGAAGGCCUUCGGGUUGUAAAGCUCUGUCCUUGGGGAAAAAAUGCUUGAAUCGUAAUAUGGUUCAGGAGCUGAUGGUACCCAAGAAGAAAGCACCGGCUAACUUC
rnacentral:rRNA from 1 species